CUCUCUUCAUUCUCUUGGUGAUGCUUUUUAAUGCUCGCAUGUCUGCAAGCAACUUCAGAACUUGCACACUAUUCUCUGUAGGCUGUUUCACCUGAAGCAACCCCAGAAAACACCAGUUACAAGAUUGCAGCGAAAGGAAAAACAAGCAAUCUGCAACCUGCUGAGUGCACACGUCUGCAAACACAGCUGUUACAGACAUCAACCUAAACGGCAUCUGACAAAGAUCAAAGAUCACAAGAUAAGCCCCAAAAACACCGUGACACCUGCUGGCUUGUGAAAACACAUUGUGAAGAGGACAGAAGGAGGAAUAAAGGCAGAUUAAGUUGGUGGUCAACAUUCUGGCAAGUGGAGUGUAAUGAGGGAAAAUAUGAAAUUGUCCUUUUU